UCAUAAAAGUUAUUUGUUAUUUAUAUAUUGUGCCUAUUGUAAAUAUACUAUUAGUAUGUUCUAGUACGUAUGAUUAUUUUAGGUUGUUUAAACUACAACAGUAUUGCAUUUAUUUCAAAAUCAACGUUGAUUUGAUUUCUAAAGCAGUUACGUUAGAUUAUAGCUGUGGGCAAUAACUUUUAAAUUAUAGCUGCAAGGGGCGGUAACUACCGCCCAGCUCAUUCAGUGUGGACCUGUGAUCUAUUAUUAGGACUUCAUUUAAUUGUUGAUUCGUCUACUCUGUGUUGUCUACUUGUCUUUAUGUUAAAUAUGUAGAGAUUAACAAAUAAAUGUUACUUUGUCGCC
rnacentral:misc_RNA from 1 species